CCUCCCCAGGUACAGAUGGGGCUGCAGAAAAUGUUCAUUUCUUCCUCGCCUUACACGAAAUCAGGUUUUGAGAAAGCAAUCAGUGGAUCAACAGUCUAUCACAGUAGAAUUAUUGAUUUGUGCCUUUGUUUCUCUUAAUAUUUUAGGGCAUUUAAUAUCUCCUGUGACAUGAGUUCAUGAAAAUGACCGAAACAGAUUUGGCAGUUCCUUUUACCAAGCCCUGUUCUUAUUGUUUUCUGGGAGGAGAGGAGAAGACACAGGAAGACAGAGAGAAGGAUAUGUGGAGACAGAGGCAGAGAUUGGAGAUCCGGGUCUACAAGCAAAGAAAACACCAAGGAUUGUCAGUAAUCACCAGAAGCUAGUAGAGAAGCAUGGAAUAAUUUUUCCCUCAAUACCAACGUUGAUGACACCUUGAUUUCAGACUUCAAGCCUCCAGAACUAUGAAAGAAUAAAUAUCUAUUAUUUGAAACCACCAAGUUUGUAGUAGUUUGCUACAGCAGUCUUAGGAAACUGAGACAACACUGUAAUGACAAUGUAAUACCGAAAAGGCUUGUUUGUUGUUAAGUGGUAUCCUAAUCAAAUGAGAUCCAUUAAGAAAAGUAAAAAAGAUUGGAUGCAA